ensembl:lncRNA
UGCACACUAAUUUAGAACAGUUUGUUAAGAAAUUGGUUUUGGAGAGAAAACAUGAGAGGAAGGGAAACAUCUCAAAAUAGUUUCAUACAAUCCCAGCCCAAACCUAUUGACUUCAGUGUGUCAUCAGUCUCCUGUGACAAUAAUAUGAGAAUUACCAUUUGUUUUCUUUAUGGGCACAAUGCAGCAGCUCUACUUAGCACAGCUCUGCUGCUGGGGCUGCCAAAAUCACCACUUCACUGAAGCCCAGGGCUGGGCAGUUGGCUGAAGAAUUUUCCCUUUUUCCCUUCUCCUGCUGGCUUCAGCAGCACAGUGGAGGGGAUGACUUUUGUAAUUCCCUUUUUCAAACUGCUGAAAUCAGGGUUUUUUUUUGGAUAUAAAGGAAAUGUGAAAGCAAUUUCAAUCUAAUUAAGCAUAUACAAUAGGUACCCAUAAUAUUCUCUAGUCAAAGAGCGUAUUGAUCUAUAAUGGAAGGUUUCAUUAAUUCCAUUUGAGGAGGCAUGUUAACAAAUGAGGGCAGUAACAUCUGAUCUGGUGAGUGCCUCGAGUUUCCUCUCUUCUUUCUGCACUAAAAUCUCAGAAUUAAGCUAACCAGAUCAAAUAUUAUUUUUCUUUUAUUUGUCCAUCUUCUUAUAGGACCUAUGGAUGGAAGGUCCUAUCUGCACAAUUAACGCAGAACUCCUACUGAAAUCUGUGUGUUUGCACCACUCUGCUGAGUUUCAAUUCUGACUACGUUAAUAAUUAGAAUUGUACGUAAUGUCAGUAAGAAGUCCCUCUAUCCAGAUUGGGCCACUAGCUGGAGAUACCACUCUCUAUACACUGAAAGUUCUCAACCACUAGCUUACAUUGGAAACCUUCCUACAACCAUCUGAAGUUAGAUGAGAUGAGUCCUGCUUUUUAUGUUAGAUACAGAAGAAGAAAGAAGUCGUCAAACCAAAACCAAUAUGUGGUGCUGAUAGAUGAGGACAUUCACCAUAUUCCCUUGACUAUAGAUUAUAUUCAGGCAACAACCCUGCCAUAAUUUCAGGAAAACAACUGCAGAGUCCUUGCACAAGACGUGACAGCAGUUCACAUAAAGAGAAACAGGCAGGGAGGAAGGGGUAACCAGGAACAUCCGCAGAAAUACACAGCUGAAGUUCUAGCAGCCCAGUGCUCAAGUGCGCACUCACAACGUGAUAAACAGAGAACUUCACAGACUGCCCAAGUCGUGCCUUGUCAUUCCUAUCACACAUAAAGGUUAAGAACAUCUGUGAUAACAGAUCUGCGAAACCUAAAAAAAAAAAGAUUCCUUUACCUACUGUGGGCUUACAGAAUCUGAAGUUAAAUUCCUGCUCAUUGUUUGGUAAGUUAACUCAUUUAUCAUUUCAAAAUAAGCUAGCUGGUUUGCUUCCUCAGUAUCUGAAGGGGUACAUGCACUUCUGCUAAUUGAAUCAUUGUUCUUGGAAACACUGCAGCUGAGUUCAUGAAAUACACAUAAGCAGGUGUAUCGUAAGUUUAAGCUGAGCAUUUGUAUUAGAAUUCAUAUGGAAAACCUUGAACUGUGAACUUCAGAAAUGGAAGUCCAAUAAGCCUUCCACAGUUCAAAAGAUUUCAUCAGCGUCUCAUUUACUGAAUACCUUAGGCACACCAACACAAUAAAUGUGAAAGAAGACUCUUCUUUCCAUGUUUUGACCCUCUUUUUCCAGGCCCUACAAGCUGUUUUCCCAUAUGACUUCAAC